CCCAGUGGUUGUCAGCUGUCUGGGCUAAUAUGCCUCGGAUGGUGUUACAGUGCUGGGAGAACAAGCACUGCCUUAUUUGGGGUGUGGCUGCAGCGCUGUUCUGGUGCUGUGGCCCAGUUCCUGUGGGCAGUGUUUUGCACCCCUGAGAGUGGAGUGGCUCCUUUUCUGGAGUUAGUCCUAGUCUGGGUGCAUACAGU
rnacentral:snoRNA from 10 species